GGAGCCUCGCAAUGUCCAUCGACCCGAGGUAAGUGGCGGCACCGGAAGACGGACUGGGGAAAAGCGAAUGACUCCGCGCAAAUCCCAGGGAUUCAAAGGCGGGGACAGCUCCGUUUGACUUUUUGCGACCGGUGGUCGAACCCGUGUGUCAGUUUCUUGGGAAACUCGAAUUGUUAUUCUUCAGGUCUGUAGCUAAACGGAGAAGACACCCCUUUGAGCCUCGCCGACCUCUCCUCUAAGCGUUCUUCCAUGCCGCUGGGUUCGAAAUUCCGAGCUUUAAUAUAAUAGAGUGCCCAGGGGAUGGAAAAGAAUGAGGCUGGAAUUGCUGGUCUACUGAACCGGACGAGGUGAAAGGUUCGUGACUACGGGCUCCAUUAUCUCAAUAAUCAAGGAUUUCCCAGAUACCACAUUCAACCAGAAAAGCCUCUCGAGGGCUCUCCAGCACCAGAUCACUUACGUCUACCUCCGUUAAGACUUAUCCCUCCUAAAAAUCAACUUAUUCUUCUUUGCCAAGAGUACACUUCAGUUUCCUCAAAGUAACUUCUGGGCCAUCAGUUUGUCCAACUAAACCUAAUGUAUUAUUCUGGGAAGACCUAUCCUGCUCUGCUGUUUCCUUCAGAUGAGCACUAAGGCAUCACAGUGUUAAGAACCAUCCACAGUUUAUUGACUGUUUGAAGAAUUCGCCGCGGAACCCCUGCAUUCAACAGCUGGUUCAUAUUGGAUGUUAAUACUUCUGCAUAUG